AAGUUUUUUUCGCAACCUAUAGUUCAAACUAAAAGUAUUUAAAAAUACAGAAUCUAUCUAUAAGAAUACGUGGUUAAAAGUUCUAAAAAUCUGUAUAAAUCUGCAAAAACUGCAUAAUUAAAUAUAAAUAAAAAACGGUGGUCAUACUUGGUGCAUUUGUAAUCACCUUAUAAUAUAUAAUAAUAGUCUAAUAGUAUUUUCCGUUAAACACU